AGGCACCUUGACUUUAAGUGUCUGUUACACCAAGGGUUAUGGCAAACUGUGUCUGCAGCUCACAGUAAAAUCCAGUUUAAGGCUCUCCACACUGGAGUGCAGCUAUCCAAGUUUUUCAGCCAUUUCCAAAAGGAAUUAUAUUGAUGUGUUAGUUGACAAGCCUACAAUGAAAAGAUAGAUGGGAAAAGAAGACCAUCAGACAGGAGGUGGCUGGAUAUGUGGAGACAAGCACGAAGAAGUCCAGGCUCUGUCACGACGUUGCUGACUGGCUUCUGUCACAUUUUCAGCCAGGGUCAUGGAAAUCAGUGUCAAUCAUUGUGGUUCUGGUUUUCUCCUUUUUGUAGCCAAAUAAAUUCCUUACUGAUACAGGCAGGGUCCUUGUUGGCUCCAAAAAAAAGUGGAUUCACAGAAAUAUAACUGAGAGAACCAUGAAUUUCUAAAGAAGUCCUAGAAAUAGAUCAGUCAGAGAAGUUGUCCAUUUCAGGCAGGGGUUUCUACUUUAAGUUGCUUGGAUGGAAAAUAAAUCAGUGUUAAGGUGAGAAUGCCAUCACUUGAAUUGUAUGACUAAUCUAGUUCAACUGACCCUCACCAGAACUGAAGAAACAAAAAGCCCCAAAUACAUGCAAAGCGGACCUACACUCUGCAUCACCAUGGUGAUGCCUCCCAGGGUCCCAGAGGGCAGGGAGGCCUCAUCUUCCACCAUCCCUAGAAAUCUCUCUUUCCCCAGAGCCCAACUCCUUCUAAACUCUGUGGUUAACCCUUUCCAGGCAAGCCUUUUCCAACACUCUGUUAGGGUUACUAAAUGUGCUCCCUACAAAUGGACUAGGGCCAAGGAAUUAUGCAAGAUCCUUCAAGCAAAGAGAUGGUAUUUUGUAACUUCCCUGAGUUUCUCCAGGAAGAUGAAAUGCACAACAUAUUUUAGAAUAAUAUCAACCUAUAUCUGUCAGAGAGGUCAUCUUGUCUGACCAAAGCCCUUGAGCUGGUGAGGGGCGGGGUUCCAGGUGCCCCUUCUGCUGCACUAGCAUUGUAUUCAGAAGUAAUAAAGAUGAUGGCUUUCAUG
rnacentral:lncRNA from 1 species